GAAAUUUCAGGAAGCCUACAUUUAUCAAUCAAAGUUUAAGUUCAUAAAUAUCAUAGUCAAACUUAACUCAACUAGGUUUUAAAGUCACCAAAAUCUAUCAGAAUACAAGUCCCUCCAAACACAGCUUAGAACAAACAAUUCCAGAUGAGAGUCCAAGCUUAUAAAGCAUAUAAAACUUGUCAAGAUUAAAUUAUAUUCCCCCAUAUACUAUUUACAAUAUUCAUUUAAUCACAAUAUAUGCAAUUUCAUAACCAAGUCACUGCUAAACCAGUCACAAUUCAAAUUCAAUGCCAAUACGACAAGAAGCCAUCACUUCAUACACAAUCCUACACACAAAAAGACUUCCAGUUUAAGCCAAAUGCAGUGGAGACAGAGGCAUGUACACACAUCUAAUUCAAGUUAA